UCGCAUCUGUGCAUGCAGCAUAUCAAUAAGCGGAGGAAAAGAAACUAACAAGGAUUCCCCUAGUAACGGCGAGUGAAGCGGGAAGAGCUCAAAUUUGAAAUCUUAAAGGGUUUCCCUUUACGAAUUGUAGUUUAAAGAAGUGUUUUCUGUUGAGGUUUUGGUAAAAGUUCUUUGGAAUAGGACAUCAUAGAGGGUGAGAAUCCCGUAUUUGACCUUUACUUUCAACUUUGUGAUACACUUUCAAAGAGUCGGAUUGUUUGGGAAUGCAGUCCAAAAUGGGUGGUAAAUUUCAUCUAAAGCUAAAUAUUGGCGAGAGACCGAUAGCGAACAAGUACCGUGAGGGAAAGAUGAAAAGAACUUUGAAAAGAGAGUUAAACAGUACGUGAAAUUGUCAAAAGGGAAGCGUUUGACACCAGUGCUGUUUUUCUGAAAAUCAAUUAAAGAACUGUUUAUGCUAAGCUGUUUAGACUUUAUCAGCUAACUGUUUAGUUUUGAGCUUUUCUUUAAUGCACUUUUCAGUUAACAAGUCAACAUCAAUUUCUUUUGCUGUAAAAAAGCUUGAGGAAGGUGGCUUGAGAUUCGUCUUAAGUGUUUAUAGCCUCUUGCCUAUGCAGUCGGAGAGAUUGAGGUCUGCAGCGUAGAUCCUUCGGGGCUAAAUGCAGUUUGUGCUAAGUUAUAGCAUUUUAUAGACAACUUGUUGACUAUGAUUUGUCUUGUAGCUUACUCGCUUAUGUUAUUUUACCUACGCUUAGGAUGUUGAGUCAUCACACAUCUCU
rnacentral:rRNA from 1 species